rnacentral:rRNA from 1 species
GACGAACGCUGGCGGCGUGCUUAACACAUGCAAGUCGAACGGAAAGGCCCUGCUUUUGUGGGGUGCUCGAGUGGCGAACGGGUGAGUAACACGUGAGUAACCUGCCCUUGACUUUGGGAUAACUUCAGGAAACUGGGGCUAAUACCGGAUAGGAGCUCCUGCUGCAUGGUGGGGGUUGGAAAGUUUCGGCGGUUGGGGAUGGACUCGCGGCUUAUCAGCUUGUUGGUGGGGUAGUGGCUUACCAAGGCUUUGACGGGUAGCCGGCCUGAGAGGGUGACCGGCCACAUUGGGACUGGGAUACGGCCCAGACUCCUACGGGAGGCAGCAGUGGGGAAUAUUGCACAAUGGGCGGAAGCCUAAUGCAGCAACGCCGCGUGCGGGAUGACGGCCUUCGGGUUGUAAACCGCUUUCGCCUGUGACGAAGCGUGAGUGACGGUAAUGGGUAAAGAAGCACCGGCUAACUACGUG